CAGACCAAGAGAUCACCCAAGGGACCGAAUCGCCCCAAUCAGAUAGCUCGACUGGCCACAACUGCAGUCCAAAUACCAGAAUGCAUCCAUGCCACCUGGUUUUUGAUAUUACUGCUGUGGACAGAUUUUCAGCAAUGCAGCCAGCCUGGUUGCUGAAGCCACAGAGGUAUUCAAGGACAAGAACCAAUGCUGAUCAAAACAUGGUCUAGUGAUGGAAUUCCAUACCCGUUCUUGGCAAGGAUUUUUUAGAAAGGAAUAUUGUCUGCAAAAUAUGAUGUGCCAAUAAGCUCCAGUUUGCUGCGGCUUUUCACCCAUGGCAGUGGUCCUGCAAUCUAGAUCCAGGAGUUGCUGCUCUAAAUCUAAUAUUUCAGAAUGAAGAU